UAGCGCCAUAUGCACGCCUAGGAAGUGAUCGCUCAUGAGGUUUUCUUAGCUCUUUCGGCAUCGACGUAGGCCUAAGCAGAUUGUACACCGUAAACAUUCCUUGCUUGCUUGUUGAAGGCAGCGUGGAUUUGCUCACCACCUUGCUCGCUUAGAAGACCUAAUCCAAUGUGCCAUCUCUUAAGGGUGAUUGGAGGCCAUAGAUCCUUAUCAGGAAAUCGUAGUCGCCGAAGAAGAACAACCUAAUUUUGUAACCUCUGAGAUGAAUGAAAGAAAUGAAAACAAAUAUCAAUUAGUUAAAGCUGUUGCCAGCCAAGACUGCAGUCAGAUUUCAAUGCGAGGCUGUCGUCCACACUUGGAUGUUUUCGCUGCAUGGACUGCAGUCCUCAGCAGCCAGUUGCGUUUCGUUACUUCCACAAGAAACAAUUCUCAGAAUUUCCUUAAUUUCUGCUGUCCUUCUUGAAACAGUCUUUUUGCUGACGACAUCACUAGAUUUCGUUGCAUUUGAUAUGAAAGCAACUUUCAGUGGCUAAAGGAAAAAUACAUAUCAUUGUGUAUAAUAUUUGUUAUCACUUGAACACUUGUAGUACAGUUUAUUUUAUCGUUCAAAUAUAUGUUGGCAGAUGGAAGCCAUUACAGAUUUUAUAAUCGUUACAGCAUUUGAUAAAUUAUACAAAUUUACAGUAAUAUUACUGUAACUAAUUCAAAAAAUUGAUUGAAAUUUACUUACUCUGCCAUUUGUUAUUAUGUUGAUUUCUUUUUGCUUUUUGAGUGAUUUAUGAAGCACUUUAUGAGCUAAUUUUUCCAGCUCAUUUGGCAUAACUUCAUUGAUCUGACAGUUGAUUUCAUUUACCGUACUGAUUUUUUGAUUUUCUCAACUUUCUGUUCAUAUUUUGAUGAACAUUUGUGGCCCUCACAGUCAUUGUAUAACAGUGUGCUGGAACACUUCUGGCAUCUCAGUUGAACAGAGAGGAGUGAUUGCUCACUCAGUUCCGAUGGUGGUCUGACAUCGUUACGAUUAACAGGACAAGAACACUUAACACAUGGAAUGACAUCAGACUUAAGCGUACGAAAGAGUUGAAACAAACAAUGUGCACAGAAAGUGUGACAACAUUUAGUUUCCAACAUCGAUAGAGACAUAACAUUUUUGCAUAUGGUACACACAUAAAUUGUGUUAGCUGCAUGUUCUUUAUUUAAUAUUAACUGGCUAGACAAGGAUGGUGUAUAAUUUGUGGACGCAGAAAAGGAGCCAUUCUGGUUUCUAUUAAAUUUAUUGAUUUUCUUUAUUGAUCCUCUGAUGUUUUGAUUUGUAAAUAAAUAGCAUGACAAACAAAA